CAGCAGCCGCGGGAAAACCGAGGGUGCAAGCGUUAAUCGGAAUUACUGGGCGUAAAGCGCGCGUAGGUGGUUUGUUAAGUUGGAUGUGAAAUCCCCGGGCUCAACCUGGGAACUGCAUUCAAAACUGACUGACUAGAGUAUGGUAGAGGGUGGUGGAAUUUCCUGUGUAGCGGUGAAAUGCGUAGAUAUAGGAAGGAACACCAGUGGCGAAGGCGACCACCUGGACUAAUACUGACACUGAGGUGCGAAAGCGUGGGGAGCAAACAGGAUUAGAUACCCCCGUAGUCCCUGUCUCUUAUAC
rnacentral:rRNA from 1 species